UAUAUAAAGAAGUAAUCUCAAAUUCAAUAUAAUAUGUGCAACAUGCAAAAUAUUCCAGACACCCCACUGUGCUCAUGGAGUACCUUGCAUUUAUCCCUAUGAUAACAGCAGCUGUUAACAUGUCCAUAUCCCUAUCUGAAGCAGGAGGAUGGGUCUUAGGGUUUGCUAGCAGGAUAACACUUAGUAACACUUGAUUUCUUGGAUUCUCCCAUGCUCCAUGUGGAAGCUCCAUGUAUGUCUUUCUUUCUGAGUAACUUGUGUCAAUGUUUCUUUUGUUAACAAUUAAUUGAUUCUCUAGGGUGAAUCUUAGUAUCCCACUCUACUACCUAAAAUUUAGUUCA
rnacentral:lncRNA from 1 species